rnacentral:rRNA from 1 species
GUCUGCGGCCAUGCCACCCUGAACAAGCCCAAUCCCAUCUGAUCUCAGAAGCUAAGCAGGGUCAGGCCUGGUUAGAACUUGGAUGGGAGACCAGGAAGACCAGGUGCUGUAGGCG